UACGAAGGGGGCUAGCGUUGCUCGGAAUCACUGGGCGUAAAGGGUGCGUAGGCGGGUCUUUAAGUCAGGGGUGAAAUCCUGGAGCUCAACUCCAGAACUGCCUUUGAUACUGAGGAUCUUGAGUUCGGGAGAGGUGAGUGAACUGCGAGUGUAGAGGUGAAAUUCGUAGAUAUUCGCAAGAACACCAGUGGCGAAGGCGGCUCACUGGCCCGAUACUGACGCUGAGGCACGAAAGCGUGGGAGCAAACAGGAUUAGAAAUCC
rnacentral:rRNA from 1 species